AUACUUACCUUGUUCCGAAUUCCCCAGCUCAAGAUUUGGGGGAUUCAGUGUGGAUGGCCUGCAUUGCACAGCGCGGAGUCGAUCCACACUCUAUUGUCCUUCGGGGCCAUAGGGGGCGCAAUUUUUGAUUUCACACCUCUUGUUUUCAUUGUGAA
rnacentral:snRNA from 19 species